ACAGCAGCAGCCGCGGGAAUACAGAGGGUGCGAGCGUUAAUCGGAUUUACUGGGCGUAAAGCGUGCGUAGGCGGCUUCUUAAGUCGGAUGUGAAAUCCCUGAGCUUAACUUAGGAAUUGCAUUCGAUACUGGGAAGCUAGAGUAUGGGAGAGGAUGGUAGAAUUCCAGGUGUAGCGGUGAAAUGCGUAGAGAUCUGGAGGAAUACCGAUGGCGAAGGCAGCCAUCUGGCCUAAUACUGACGCUGAGGUACGAAAGCAUGGGGAGCAAACAGGAUUAGAUACCCCAGUAGUCCCUGUCUCUUAUAA
rnacentral:rRNA from 1 species